ACGCUCGCUCUCCAGCAAGCAGGCGCAUGCGCGGGUCACGUGGCGGAAAUGUGGCCUCUCGCCAACCGCUAUCGUGCCUCAAGCCGGAAGUUGAUAUGGUUGCCUAGGAGACCGGACGUAGCUCUCUAGCCUAGGCAUCAUACUUAGCUGAGCUCACAGAGGCUGGCGGACGUGCGCCCCAUGGCGGAGCGAGCUGAAGUUGCAGCCUGGGACCAGGGAAAUCAAGAGGAUCAUGCUGGCUGCUGUGUGGAGAAAAGACCGAGGGGAAGUAAAAGAACAAAGAACAAAAGAGAACAUGAUGGCUUGGAUCAAGAAUCACCAUUAGCUCCCUUCUGAUGAAGCAGGAGUUGACUCAGCUGGGCUUUCAGCUGGACACGGAAAGCGGAGGUAGAUGAAUUGUCAUGAUCAAACAGGGUUCUGCUCAGUUGAACAGGCUAGAGUACAGUGGCAUAGCUCAC
rnacentral:lncRNA from 1 species